AUUUCCUGUGAUGCAUCACAUUCUGGUUUAAGCUUUUUCAAUAAUAAACCUUUUCUUUCUCUUCUAUUUUUUGUGGAGAGGUUUUCUGGGUUGGGAGUAGAUUUUGUUUUUAAUUAUAUUUCCUCAACACAGUCCAACACCUCCAUCCAGAGAAGGACAUUGGACAGCACGGCCUAAAUCAGUCCACCUCUCCAUGCAGAAUUUGAGCGGAAGACGCAGGAGAAAGCCAAAAGUUACAGGAACAGAGGUUGACAGCCUUGUGUGAGGUUCCAACGAUUCCAGCAGGAGAAUAACGUACAAUCUGUCUAAUGGAAAAGGAAACUUUCAAAGAACAAUUGUUGAAGAUGGUGGUGCCACAAGAUGGAUGGAGCCUGGGUACAUGAAUGGCUGCGUGGAGCAGAGCUCCCUGUCUACUGCAUUUGACUUUGAAGGAGAGGUGGCUGAGAAUAAAACCUGGAAGAGCUGUUUCAACAAAAACAUCAUGAGACACUGAGUCCUCAAGGCAGUGCUGCACUGUGGCUGCUGUAACAGAGAUGCCCAGGGAUUGAGACUGUUCCCAACUUGAGUUACUCCAGAGCCCAGCCCAGACACAGCCACCAGAGGAGCUAGCUGAACUAGCUUCCAUCUCACAUGGAGAUGCAGUAGCAGAUGUCACUCUUUGAUGGGUAUCAGCAGAACCACAGAGGAUGUAGGUAGCCUCAUGGAGGAUUCACGGCUGGAACAGUAGUAUGCAUUGGUGCAGGUGGCAGGAGAGGAGGGACAGAGCCAUACCACACAGCAGCCCAGAGGAUUUGUUUGUUUGCAAACAUGUGUGACCUCCUCAGAGGCCACCUGGAAUACUGUCUGGGGGGGAAUUGAGUCAGUCUGGAGACUCAUAAUAAUUAGUGAAGAGAAAGCAGAAAUUCACUCUUUUAUUAGUGUUAGAAUAACCCUAUUUUAACCACUAUGCUUAUGUGGCCUGGGGAAAUCCCGGUUAUGAUUUAAGUAAGCAGAUGCAUUUUUUAAUCAGUGAGGUUGAGUUUAGCCAGGGUCUAUUUGGGAUGUUAAAACCACUGGCAAUGUUCAUGAAUGAUUCAUGGAGAUUGGUGGAGGCGGUCAAGGGGUGUGAAAGGAACAAUUUAAAGUCCAUUUUCAUGAAAG